AUUGAACGCUGGCGGCAUGCCUUACACAUGCAAGUCGAACGGCAGCACGGGAGCAAUCCUGGUGGCGAGUGGCGAACGGGUGAGUAAAGUAUCGGAACGUGCCCAGUCGUGGGGGAUAACGUAGCGAAAGUUACGCUAAUACCGCAUACGAUCUAUGGAUGAAAGCGGGGGAUCGCAAGACCUCGCGCGAUUGGAGCGGCCGAUAUCAGAUUAGGCAGUUGGUGGGGUAAAGGCUCACCAAGCCGACGAUCUGUAGCUGGUCUGAGAGGACGACCCGCCACACUGGGACUGAGACACGGCCCAGACUCCGACGGGAGGCAGCAGUGGGGAAUUUUGGACAAUGGGCGAAAGCCUGAUCCAGCCAUGCCGAGUGCAAGAUGAAGGCCUUCGGGUUGUAAACUGCUUUUGUACGGAACGAAAAGGUUUGGGCUAAUAAGCUGAGCUUAUGACGGUACCGUAAGAAUAAGCACCGGCUAACUACGUGCCAGCAGCCGCGGUAA
rnacentral:rRNA from 1 species